rnacentral:rRNA from 1 species
CAAGUCGAGGGGUCAGUUCCUACUUGUAGGAAACACGACCGGCGCACGGGUGAGUAACGCGUAUGCAACCUGCCUCUAACUGGGGCAUAGCCCGAAGAAAUUCGGAUUAAUUUCCCAUAUUAUUCAAUGAUCGCAUGGUGAUUGAAUGAAAGCUCCGGCGGUUAGAGAUGGGCAUGCGGGUCAUUAGCUUGUUGGUGAGGUAACGGCUCACCAAGGCUGCGAUGACUAGGGGGCCUGAGAGGGUGAUCCCCCACACUGGUACUGAGACACGGACCAGACUUCUACGGAAGGCAGCAGUGAGGAAUAUUGGGCAAUGGAGGCAACUCUGACCCAGCCAUGCCGCGUGCAGGAUGACGGCCCUAUGGGUUGUAAACUGCCUUUCUGAGAGAAGAAUCCCCCCGAGUUUUCGGGGGUUGCCGGUAUCUCAGGAAUAAGCAUCGGCUAACUCCGUGCCAGCAGCCGCGGUAAUACGGAGGAUGCAAGCGUUAUCCGGAUUCAUUGGGUUUAAAGGGUGCGUAGGCGGGAAAGUAAGUCAGUGGUGAAAGCCUGCAGCUCAACUGUGGAACUGCCAUUGAUACUGCUUUUCUUGAGUUUGGUUGAGGUAGGCGGAAUGUGUAAUGUAGCGGUGAAAUGCUUAGAUAUUGCACAGAACACCGAUUGCGAAGGCAGCUUACUAAACCGAUACUGACGCUGAUGCACGAGAGCGUGGGGAGCGAACAGGAUUAGAUACCCUGGUAGUCCACGCUGUAAACUAUGAUCACUCGCUGUUGGCAAUACAUCGUCAGCGGCUGAGCGAAAGCAUUAAGUGAUCCACCUGGGGAGUACG